rnacentral:rRNA from 1 species
CCCUUAGAUGUUCUGGGCCGCACGCGUGCUACACUGAGUGGAUCAGCGGGUCAGGUUGCGCGAAAGUGUUUCCUAAUCUUGAAAUCCGCUCGUGAUGGGGAUUGACGGUUGCAAUUUUCCGUCAUGAACCAGGAAUACCUUGUAAGCGCGGGUCAUCAUCCCGCGCUGAAUACGUCCCUGCCCUUUGUACACACCGCCCGUCGCUCCUACCGAUUGAGUGGUCCGGUGAGGCUUUGGGAUCUGAGCGGAAAGAGCGUUUCGCUGUUUCUGCUCGGAAAACUCAGUCGAACCUUAUCAUUUAGAGGAAGGAGAAGUCGUAACA